UACGGUAGGGGGCAAGCGUUGUCCGGAAUCAUUGGGCGUAAAGCGCGUGUAGGCGGCCAGAAAAGUCCGCUGUGAAAACUCGAGGCUCAACUUCGAGCUGUCGGUGGAAACUUUCUGGCUAGAGUCCGGAAGAGGAGAAUGGAAUUCCUGGUGUAGCGGUGAAAUGCGCAGAGAUGGGGGAGAACACUCGUGGCGAAGGCGGCCAGCUAGACCAGUUCUGACACUGAGGCGCGACAGCGUGGGGAGCAAACAGG
rnacentral:rRNA from 1 species